ACGGAAUAUAGGAUAAUAGGAUCAUAUCGAUUUCCUUCCAACGCCCAAACACUAAACCUAAUCAAAAUUCCGCCGACGCGACUUCCUUCCAACGCCCAACCGCCCAACGACGACAGCACAGUCGACUGCCGCAUCGUCGACCGCCGUCUUCAUUCCAACUGCUCCGCCGUGCCUGUUCGCUGCUCGCAUCGACCAUUGUCUUCCUUCUCUGCUGCUCGCGCCCUCCGCUGCUCGCGUCGUCCGCUGCUCGCAUCGACCAUCGACCAUCGACCGUGCCUGUCCGCUGCUCGCGUCGUCUGCUGCGCUGCUCUGCCGUGCCGCCGAACGCCUGCCGCCACCGCCGCUGCCUGAUCAUGCACAUGGAAAGCAGGAUAGGCUGUCUGAAAGUGGUUGCUCUAUCAGUGGAACUAAUGAAGCCAGUGUAACCAACAUGAGAGUUGCAUAAAGCUCCUGUUCAAAUUCCAAAGAAGAAAGGUUGGAUGAUUCCCUACAAGAAUGUACCUCUACCUGCAACUUACAAUGUUAGUUAUGCAUAAACAGAAGGAAUAUUUUGGUAAAGUACAAAGGCCUUGCUCAUAUUCAUAACCACUGGAUUCCAGAGGCAGAGGUGACUCUAGAGGCUUCAACACUGCUUGCAAGAUUUAACAAACACAAUAAGGAUGUGAGUUGGAAAACAAAUUGGACUAUGCCUCAUCCUUUGCUUAGUGAAACAGAUUCUCUGGGGCAUAAUGAUAAUAGUUCUAAUUGCAUUAUGAGUGGCUUGUGAAAUGGACAGGCCUUGAUUAUGAUCAAGCUACUUGGGAAUUAGACACUGCUACAUGUUUAAAUUCCUCCAAGGAAUGAAAAAUGAUCAGUGACUAUGAAAGUCAUCAUAAAAAGGCAAACGCAGAGGUGCAUCCUUCCAAGAAUGAUAAGGAUAAGUGUCUUUCAAUUAAUGCCAUCAUAACUGUAUGCAUGAACUAAAAUUGGAAGAUGCAAUGAAGGAGAUUGGUGAAUCAACAGUUAAAGACCAUGCGAGCUAAGAUGGAGGCUAAACUACAAGUUGAAAGAAAUCAAUUGCGGGCUCAAAUGCCAAGCUCAGAUUACAAGUUUGAUGGAUGAGUUGCGUCGUAAUGGGAUGCUAUCCACUUCUAUGCCACGACCUCUAAAUAUUUAAGUUGAAGAUUUUGUUAAUUCAAAUGAUGAAAACUUAGAAGAGGAUUAGAUUAUGUUUAUUAAUAUACUUGGUAUUGUUUUUAACGAUAUAACUUUACUUUUGUUGGUAUGAAUGUUUUAAUAUAGUAUAUUUUAUAUAUAUUAUUGACCUAUUAUAUUA